UAGGGAAUCUUCGGCAAUGGACGGAAGUCUGACCGAGCAACGCCGCGUGAGUGAAGAAGGUUUUCGGAUCGUAAAGCUCUGUUGUUAGAGAAGAACGUUGGUAGGAGUGGAAAAUCUACCAAGUGACGGUAACUAACCAGAAAGGGACGGCUAACUACGUGCCAGCAGCCGCGGUAAUACGUAGGUCCCGAGCGUUGUCCGGAUUUAUUGGGCGUAAAGCGAGCGCAGGCGGUUCUUUAAGUCUGAAGUUAAAGGCAGUGGCUUAACCAUUGUACGCUUUGGAAACUGGAGGACUUGAGUGCAGAAGGGGAGAGUGGAAUUCCAUGUGUAGCGGUGAAAUGCGUAGAUAUAUGGAGGAACACCGGUGGCGAAAGCGGCUCUCUGGUCUGUAACUGACGCUGAGGCUCGAAAGCGUGGGGAGCAAACAGGAUUAGAUACCCUGGUAGUCCACGCCGUAAACGAUGAGUGCUAGGUGUUAGGCCCUUUCCGGGGCUUAGUGCCGCAGCUAACGCAUUAAGCACUCCGCCUGGGGAGUACGACCGCAAGGUU
rnacentral:rRNA from 1 species